AACGAACGCUGGCGGCAUGCCUAACACAUGCAAGUCGAACGAGACCUUCGGGUCUAGUGGCGCACGGGUGCGUAACGCGUGGGAACCUGCCCUUAGGUUCGGAAUAACUCCCCGAAAGGGGUGCUAAUACCGGAUAAUGUCUUCGGACCAAAGAUUUAUCGCCUUUGGAUGGGCCCGCGUUGGAUUAGCUAGUUGGUAGGGUAAAAGCCUACCAAGGCGACGAUCCAUAGCUGGUCUGAGAGGAUGAUCAGCCACACUGGGACUGAGACACGGCCCAGACUCAUACGGGAGGCAGCAGUGGGGAAUAUUGGACAAUGGGAGAAAGCCUGAUCCAGCAAUGCCGCGUGAGUGAUGAAGGCAUUAGGGUUGUAAAGCUCUUUUACCCGGGAUGAUAAUGACAGUACCGGGAGAAUAAGCGCCGGCUAACUCCGUG
rnacentral:rRNA from 1 species